UCUCUGCAUAUUUCGCCACGGAGAGCGCAUCUGAGAAGCAACAAUUUUUCCUCUUUGUAAACAGUUUCACUGUGUAGUUGUUUGACAGAGUUUCAACAUACAGUACAAGACAAAUACUUUUGAAACAGUAUGCGAGAAUGACUGGAAUUUCGUUUGAAUCUUUUGAAAUACGCUUUUUUUUGCCGACUAUAUCAUUGAAACAAACUUAUUUUUUGAAGUUGUUCGGAGUUUCACACACUGGCAUUUCUUACUAACAUACCACCGUCUCCAGUCGCAAGAUAGUAGGCUACAGCUAAAUUCCACAAGGGGAGCCAAGUGCCACAUCGCUCAUGACUCAAAUAGGCUACACCACUCUGAAAAUAUUGCGGACCUGGAGAAGUGGCGGCUUGGCUUACUGCUAAAUGACAGACAAGGAACAGCAUAUGUGGGUUUGUACCUGCACUUGGAAAACCGGUAACAUCAGUUACUGUGUAAAAAUUCAGGGCACCUUCGUGCUUGCAGCGGUUAAGGAAAGAACACUGUGGCACAUGCAUGGUGAUGCCGGGUGGAGAUACGAGGAAUGAGUUAUUACAGAAAUCAAUUUCACUCAGGGAACAUCUGCCAGAGAUAAGUGAAACAUAAACAAUGUCAUUCAAAGAGAGAGGUUCAUGGUGAGACAUGAGAUGCUUUUGGUCACGUCAUUCUGACCAGUGGAGGCUGCUGAGGGGAGGACGGCUCAUUAUAACGGCUGGAACAGAGCAAAUGGAAUGGCAUCAAGCACAUGGAAACCGUGUCCCCAAUUAAGGUGGCUUAUGUUGACUGGAGGGUGCGAUAGUGACACUGCAUCACCAUUUGGGCUAGGCAGGUCAUACGGCUACACAUGUCACACAGUCCUGGAUAGCUGAACCACUGGAUCAGCGUCAUCCAACAGGUGAAGCCGCUCCCAGACAAGUCCCCAAGAAUCUGUAACAGGUCUCAGGCAUGAGAUCUCGCUACAGAUAAUAAAGUCAUGUUUUACACAGGGAGAAAGAAGUCAC
rnacentral:lncRNA from 1 species